rnacentral:lncRNA from 1 species
UGUAUCGUAAAAGAGCUAGCGGUUAAUGGCAGUAGUGAUUGCUUGCGUGGAACAUCCAUUUCAAUGGUACGGGACUACUGGAGGCGGGUGGGGCAGUUAGGGAGGCUGGGUGUUUGGAUCUAAACAUUAUGGGGCAUGGGUGGAGAUGGGAUAGGGGGAAGGAGAAGGCUGGUCAUCAUCUGUAUUGGUGGAAACUGGUGGUAGGGUUGGAUUCGCUGCUGUGCGGGUGGAGAACAUGAGACGAGCAGGUGUCAAGUGGAGGAUACAGUGGAGCUUACAGGCGUAGGACGAAGAAAACCAAAGUACUACUAGAAAAAUAAAAAAAUGUGUUUCGGUCUACUCCCCAAAAUCCUAAAUAUAUUUGCCAGAUAUAUAAUCGAUUCUAGUGCUAGUACUUAGUACCGAGUCUAACGACCGUCCCACAUAGAGGACCCUUUAGUACAGAUUGGCAUAUGAUCCAAUACUAAAGCUCAUUUUAG